UACAUUGUGAGUUAAACCUAACCCACAUAGUUAUUUGCUACAAAGCUUUGUAUUAUGAAAUUUGCACAUUAUUUUAUUGAUAUAAAUAUUUUUUCAUAUUGUAUUAUAUUUUUAUUAUAUGUAUGCUUUCUAUUAAGGUUAUAUUAAUUCGUGCAUUAUUAAAUAUUCUUUUGUCUCUAACAGUCGAGUAUAGAACAGUACAGUUUCGAUUACUUUUUUGUAAUUAUUUUGUUCGUGGACUAGAGCAGAAUUAUCAAAGGAUACUUUUUUUGUAGACAUUCAAGCGUUUUUGAUUAAAUAUUAAAAGAUGUAAGAAGAAAAUGAGACGCUGUGAAUAAAUUACAGAAGUGUAAAAAAGAAAAGCACGACCGUAAAACGUGAACAUUGUAAAAAGUUUAUUUGUGUAUACCGUGCGGCCGAGGAAAAUAUGUAAUAAUGAGAUAAUCUAG
rnacentral:misc_RNA from 1 species